rnacentral:rRNA from 1 species
AACGAACGCUGGCGGCAUGCCUAACACAUGCAAGUCGAACGAGACCUUCGGGGCUAGUGGCGCACGGGUGCGUAACGCGUGGGAACCUGCCCUUAGGUUCGGAAUAACUCCCCGAAAGGGGUGCUAAUACCGGAUAAUGUCUUCGGACCAAAGAUUUAUCGCCUUUGGAUGGGCCCGCGUUGGAUUAGCUAGUUGGUAGGGUAAAAGCCUACCAAGGCGACGAUCCAUAGCUGGUCUGAGAGGAUGAUCAGCCACACUGGGACUGAGACACGGCCCAGACUCCUACGGGAGGCAGCAGUGGGGAAUAUUGGACAAUGGGCGAAGGCCUGAUCCAGCAAUGCCGCGUGAGUGAUGAAGGCCUUAGGGUUGUAAAGCUCUUUUACCCGGGAUGAUAAUGACAGUACCGGGAGAAUAAGCUCCGGCUAACUCCGU